rnacentral:misc_RNA from 1 species
AACGCAUCUUGCGCCCUUGGGUUACUCCGAAGGGCAUGCCUGUUUGAGAGUCAUUAUUGUUCUCAACUUUGAGAGUUUUUGCAAAGAGACUCUUGAAAGCUUGGAUGUGGGGGGGGGACUUUUUUGCUGGCACUUGUUGUGUUGGCUCCUCUGAAAUGCAUUAGCAGAACUCGUUGAGUUUCUUGGCUCUGGUUUGAUAAUAUCUAUGCCAUUGCUGAGAGGAUCUCUGUGUUGGUUCAGCUUCUAACUCUUGUCAUCAUCAUUGAUGAUAAACCUUUUGAAACUUGACCUCAAAUCAGGUAGGACUACCCGCUGAACUUAA